GGGUGGGGUGAGGGGAGAAAGGGAAAGGGAUUAGCAAAGUGACUGUCCCUUAAGGCACAGUAGGGACAGUCAAUUUGCUAAUCCCUUUCCCUUUCUCCCCUCACCCCACCCUGUUAUAGCCU